rnacentral:rRNA from 1 species
AACGAUGCAUAGCCGACCUGAGAGGGUGAUCGGCCACACUGGAACUGAGACACGGUCCAGACUCCUACGGGAGGCAGCAGUAGGGAAUCUUCCGCAAUGGGCGAAAGCCUGACGGAGCAACGCCGCGUGAGUGAUGAAGGUCUUCGGAUCGUAAAACUCUGUUAUUAGGGAAGAACAUAUGUGUAAGUAACUGUGCACAUCUUGACGGUACCUAAUCAGAAAGCCACGGCUAACUACGUGCCAGCAGCCGCGGUAAUACGUAGGUGGCAAGCGUUAUCCGGAAUUAUUGGGCGUAAAGCGCGCGUAGGCGGUUUUUUAAGUCUGAUGUGAAAGCCCACGGCUCAACCGUGGAGGGUCAUUGGAAACUGGAAAACUUGAGUGCAGAAGAGGAAAGUGGAAUUCCAUGUGUAGCGGUGAAAUGCGCAGAGAUAUGGAGGAACACCAGUGG